rnacentral:rRNA from 1 species
UGGCGGACGGGUGAGUAACGCGUGGAUAACCUGCCGUAUACUGGGGGAUAACACUUAGAAAUAGGUGCUAAUACCGCAUAAGCGCACAGCUUCGCAUGAAGCGGUGUGAAAAACUCUGGUGGUAUACGAUGGUUCCGCGUCUGAUUAGCUAGUUGGUGGGGUAAUGGCCUACCAAGGCAACGAUCAGUAGCCGGCCUGAGAGGGUGAACGGCCACAUUGGGACUGAGACACGGCCCAAACUCCUACGGGAGGCAGCAG